UAGAGUUUGAUCAUGGCUCAGGACGAACGCUGGCGGCGCGCUUAACACAUGCAAGUCGUGCGAUACCUCGAGCGAGUCUUACGACGAGCUCAAGGUAGAGCGGCGGACGGGUGAGUAACACGUGAGUAGCUGUCCUAAGGAGGGGGAUAACGCCUGGAAACGGGUGCUAAAACCCCAUAUGCCUCGCAAGAGGUGAAAGUGUAUUACUACAGCCUUAGGGUGUGCUCGCGGCCUAUCAGCUAGUUGGUGAGGUAAUGGCUCACCAAGGCUAAGACGGGUAGCCGGCCUGAGAGGGUGUACGGCCACACUGGAAUUGAGAUACGGUCCAGACUCCUACGGGAGGCAGCAGUGGGGAAUCUUGGGCAAUGGGCGAAAGCCUGACCCAGCGACGCCGCGUUGGGGAUGAAGCCCUUCGGGGUGUAAACCCAUGUUGUAGGGGACGAAGAAAGUGACGGUACCCUACGAGGAAGCCCCGGCUAACUACGUGCCAGCAGCCGCGGUAAUACA
rnacentral:rRNA from 1 species